CCUACGGGGGGCAGCAGUGGGGGAUAUUGGACAAUGGGGGAAACCCUGAUCCAGCGACGCCGCGUGAGGGAAGAAGGAUUUCGGGAUGUAAAGCUCUAUCAGCAGGGAAGAAAGAAAUGACGGUACCGGAGUAAGAAGCCACGGCUAACUACGUGCCAGCAGCCGCGGUAAUACGUAGGGGGCAAGCGUUAGCCGGAAUUACUGGGUGUAAAGGGAGCGUAGACGGUAAGGCAAGUCUGGAGUGAAGGGCGGGGGCCCACCCCCCGGACUGCUCUUGAAACUGUGUAACUGGAGUGCAGGAGAGGCAGUCGGAAUUCCUAGUGUAGCGGUGACAUGCGUCGAUAUUCGG
rnacentral:rRNA from 1 species